rnacentral:rRNA from 1 species
AUUGAACGCUGGCGGCGUGCCUAACACAUGCAAGUCGAGCGGUAACAGGCGUAGCAAUACGUGCUGACGAGCGGCGAACGGGUGAGCAAUGCUUCGGAAUCUGCCCAAUGAUGUGGAAUAACCAGUCGAAAGAUUGGCUAAUACCGCAUACGCCCUACGGGGGAAAGCGGGGGCUCGUAAGACCUCGCGUCGAUGGAUGAGCCGAAGUCGGAUUAGCUAGUUGGUAGGGUAACGGCCUACCAAGGCGACGAUCCGUAGCUGGUCUGAGAGGACGAUCAGCCACACUGGGACUGAGACACGGCCCAGACUCCUACGGGAGGCAGCAGUGGGGAAUCUUGCGCAAUGGGCGAAAGCCUGACGCAGCCAUGCCGCGUGAGUGAAGAAGGUCUUAGGAUUGUAAAGCUCUUUCGCUCGUGACGAUGAUGACGGUAACGAGAGAAGAAGCCCCGGCUAACUUCGUGCCAGCAGCCGCGGUAAUACGAAGGGGGCUAGCGUUGUUCGGAAUUACUGGGCGUAAAGCGCGCGUAGGCGGUUUUGCAAGCCAGAGGUGAAAUGCCUGAGCUCAACUUAGGAAUUGCCUUUGGGACUGCGAG